UAGCUCAGUUGGUAGAGUACGAGACUCUUAAUCUUGUGGUUGUAGGUUUGAGCUCCAC
rnacentral:tRNA from 1 species